GAUGAAGAACGUAGCGAAAUGCGAUACGUAAUGUGAAUUGCAAAUUCAGUGAAUCAUCGAGUCUUUGAACGCACAUUGCGCCCCCUGGUAUUCCGGGGGGCAUGCCUGUCCGUGCGUCAUUGCUGCCCUCAAGCACGGCUUGUGUGUUGGGCCCCGUCCUCCGAUCCCGGGGGACGGGCCCGAAAGGCAGCGGCGGCACCGCGUCCGGUCCUCGAGCGUAUGGGGCUUUGUCACCCGCUCUGUAGGCCCGGCCGGCGCUUGCCGAUCAACCCAAAUUUUUAUCCAGGUUGACCUCGGAUCAGGUAGGGAUACCCGCUGAACUUAAGCAUAUCAAUAAGCGGAGGA
rnacentral:misc_RNA from 1 species